UAGAUAUUCCCUCCGCCCAAAAUACUUGUCAGAGAAAUAGAUGUAUUUAGAUGUAUUUUAAUUCUAGAUACAUUCAUUCAUAUCUAUUUCUCCGAUGAGUAUUUCCGGACGAAGGGAGUAUGGA
rfam:Triticum aestivum genome assembly, contig: Triticum_aestivum_CS42_TGACv1_scaffold_392635_5AS